rnacentral:lncRNA from 1 species
CAGUUGAAAACCAGUUCAAUCUUCUUCUCCCACUCUAAGUAAGCAUCAGGAUCAUUCUUCCCAUGGAAUGGAGGGAUUCUAAGCUUGAGAUUGCCUAGGUUAUCAGUAGCUGGUCGCCUGCGGUUGUGAUUUCUACCAUGAUGACUAGCCUGAGAUCCAUCAUCACUUUCAUCAGCUGAAUCUUCUUGAUAAUGUUCUCCAUAAAUCCCACGACCCCUAAGCUCAACUCGUUGCCCUCUUAUAGGUCCAAUGCGUGCUCUCUGAGCUCCAGCAGCAACCGCGUCCCUCUCUUGCCCUGCAUUAUCACCAGGUAAAGUUUCAUUAGCUUGUUGAGCACGGUUGUAAGUAUUUUGCAUUCUUCUGGUUAUCUCAGCUAUCAUAGCCUCAAAUUGAACUUGGUUGAGGUUGAUUUGCUGGACAGCCGGUUCUCCUGAACUCUCAGGUUGCUUUCCAUCUCGCCUCUCUUCACUCAUUGUUCCUGAAAUAGUUAGAGAAAACACAAAGCCAGGAACAGAAUGAUCUCUCUCUCACUCAAGUUUUCAAAUCGCCAAGUCUCAGCUCUUCCCACAAGUUCAGUUGAAAAACAAAGUUCUACACUUAAGAUCUAGAACUAAAACCCCAAUGAAUCAGAUAGAAAGUAUUAAGAGAUUUAGGCACCAGCUGACUUUACCACCCUGAGCUGGAUUUCUCUUCAGCUAGCUGGAUUACUCUUCAGCUAUAUAUAUAUAUUUUUUUUUAUUUGGAUCAGAGAUCUCUUUUCUUUUCUUUUUUUUUUUUGAUUUGCAGGGUUGGCUCAGCUGGCUUACAACAGAUAGAAAGAUAAGAGAAGUGUUUGAUGGAAUGAAUGAUCUGAGUAGUCAAAUCGCAAACCCUAACCUUCAAGUGGCUCUGAUACCACUUGGUGCAGCCUGGGUAUGGCUUAAACUCUGGAUCACUUGAAGGUGGAUGGAUAGAGGGUGUUCUAAGAGGCUACUAGCUCUCCUUUGAACUAUGAACGUCUCCCUGAGCCUGUGGGUUGGCGCCAAGGAUGGUUUGCUACUCAAAGACACAAGAUCACCUUGUAUUGUCUAAGAUGGGAUUCACAGGAAUUCCUUCCUUUAAGUGAGAUCAAUGUUCUAGAGCUGAACAGAGAAAGCUAGAGACAAGACAACAAAGUUGACUGAAUAAUUCUUAGAUUGAAAGUUAAGAAAACAAAGCUGCGUCCCCCAUGUUCUUAAGGGAAAAAUCGAAAACCCUAAUAAUAAACCAAGGUGGUUUAAUUCUAAUUCUAAUCCUAAUUGUCUUUGGUUUAAAUUAAAUUAAAGCCCAAUAACCAAAACCCUUACAAAGUAAUUAAAUUAAACCAACAAGCUGGUUUAUCUUGAUCUCCUUGCCUUGAACCAAGGCCCACGGUUUUGGCUAUCUCCUGGAGCCUCUCCUCUUGUGCUCUCAGUCUUGAUCUAGUAACUGGUCCACUCCACACACUGGCUGGCUCACAUGGUAUCUCACUCUGGUUCUGGUUCUCUUCAGUACCCUCAGCUUCACACCUCUCUUCUACGGCAGUCUCAUCACUUGGCUCAUCCUCAUCAGUCUCGCUCAGCUCCUCUUCUAUGUCUCUGGUCAUGGCUACACCACGCCUAGUCCUGUGGAGUCUGUGUGUUUAAGCAGCACAACGGAUAGGUGUGAUAAUCUCACAUGGCAUGCAAGGCUGGGACAUCCUCAUGCCAAGGCAAUUGAACUGAUUCUACCAAGUAUGGCGUUCAAUCACUUGGAGUGUGAAGCUUGUAUACUUGGAAAGCACUGUAGGACUGUCUUCCCAACAUCAGAAACCAGAUAUGAGAAUUGCUUUGAUCUGGUGCAUUCAGACGUGUGGACAGCUCCCUGUAUGUCUAGAGACAGCCAUAAGUACUUUGUGACUUUCAUUGAUGAGAAGUCCAAGUACACAUGGAUCACCAUGAUUCCCUCCAAAGACAGAGUCCUAGAAGCCUUCAUGAACUUCCAAGCAUAUGUUACUAAUCAGUACAAUGCCACUGUGAGGAUUCUGAGGUCUGAUAAUGGAGGAGAAUACACUAGCAAUGCUUUCAAGAGUCAUCUUGCAAAGCAUGGGAUUGUGCAACAAACUAGCUGUCCUUACACACCACAACAAAAUGGGGUGGCUGAGAGGAAGAACAGACAUUUGAUGGAGGUUGCGAGAUCAAUCAUGUUCCACAUGAAUGUCCCUAAGAGGUUUUGGAGUGAUGCUGUUCAGACUGCUUGCUAUCUCAUCAAUAGAGUGCCAACCCGUGUCUUGAAGAAACUGUCUCCCUUUGAAGUAUUGAACAAGGCCAAGCCACACAUUGAUCAUUUGAGAGUCUUUGGGUGCUUAUGUUAUGUGAUGAUUCCCGGAGAAAGAAGGAACAAGCUAGAAGCAAAGAGUACUAAAGCUAUGUUCAUUGGGUACUCAAUCACUCAGAAAGGCUACAAAUGUUAUGAUCCAAUAACUAGGAGGGUUAUGGUAUCUAGAGAAGUGAAGUUUGUUGAGUCUAAAGGGUAUUAUGAGGAGAAGAAAUGGGAAGACCUAGAGGAUCUGUCCCGAGCUCCAUCAGAGAAGGCAACAACAUUGAGAGUGUUGUUGGAGAGGCUAGGGAUAGGAUUAUCCCAAGAUCAGGAACCAGGAAGAACCGGACCUUCUAAUCAAACUGGAGAAGCUGGAGGAACAACCCCUCUUGAUCAUGAGAGGGGGAAUGGAUCUGAAUCAGGGGAGCAGGAGCAUAACCAAGAGGAUUCAGGUCAGCAUGAUCAGGAGGAGACACAGGAAGUAGAGAGUGAAGCUCAGUCAGGUGGAAAUGAGCAGGGAGAACCUACUGGUUUAAGAGAGGAAGCACAAGAGAAUGUUCAGGCUGAAGAACAGGUUGAGACCUUGCGGAGGAGCACAAGGAUAAGGAGGGAUCCUUCCAACUGGGUAAACACGAGAGUGUACUACAAUGCCCAGGCUGUGGAGCAUCCCUCUCAAGCCGUGUGUUCCUUUGCAGAGUUUCCAGAAGAGCACAUGGUGUUUAUGUGUAACUUGGAUGAGAAUGAGAUACCAAGAUCUUAUGAAGAAGCUAUGAAGCACAAGGUUUGGAGAGAUUCAGUAGGAGAUGAAAGGGAUGCAAUGAUCAGGAAUGAUACUUGGUAUGAGAGUGAGUUACCUAAAGGGAAGAAGGCAGUUUCAAGCAGAUGGAUCUUCACCAUCAAGUACCUUGCAAAUGGGGAGAUAGAUAGGCGCAAGACUAGGCUGGUUGCAAGAGGAUUUACACAGACUUAUGGGGAAGAUUACAUUGAUACUUUUGCACCAGUGGCCAAGCUUCACACAAUUCGAAUUGUGUUAUCUAUUGCAACAAACUUGGAGUGGGAUUUGUGGCAAAUGGAUGUGAAGAAUGCUUUCUUGCAAGGUGAACUUGAAGAUGAAGUAUACAUGCAUCCACCUCCUGGUCUUGAGCAUCUAGUAAAGCCAGGGAAUGUUUUGAGAUUGAAGAAGGCUAUAUAUGGGCUGAAGCAGUCUCCUAGAGCUUGGUACAGAAAGCUUAGUACAACUCUCAAUGGGAGAGGGUUCAGGAAGUCUGAACUAGAUCAUACACUCUUCACACUGGUUGGACCAUCAGGGAUCAUAGUGAUUUUGGUGUAUGUGGAUGAUUUGAUUAUCACAGGGAGUGAUAAGGCUGGGAUUAAAGCCACCAAAGAGUUUCUCAAGUCUGUGUUUGAUAUUAAAGACUUGGGAGAGAUGAAGUAUUUUUUGGGGAUUGAGAUAUGCAGAUCUAAGGAGGGUUUGUUUAUGUCUCAAAGGAAGUAUACUAUGGAUAUGCUGAAGGAGACUGAUGUGCUUGGAGGGAAGAUAGCUAAGACACCUCUUGAGGAAGGGUAUAAGGUCUUGCGUGAGGGGGAGGUUGAAGAGAACCAGUUGUUUGAGGAUGCUAAGCUGUAUAGGAGGAUGGUGGGUAAGCUGAUCUACUUGACUAUCACCAGACCUGAUAUAUGCUUUGCUGUGAAUCAAGUGAGCCAACAUAUGCAGGCGCCAAAGGUACAUCACUGGAAGAUGGUUGAUAGGAUACUGAGGUAUUUGAGUGGCUCACAUGGACAAGGAGUUUGGAUGGGUUGCAAUGGCAGUACAGAAGUGGUUGGGUAUUGUGAUGCUGAUUGGGCAGGAGAUAGAGUGGACAGGAGAUCAACUACUGGGUAUUGUACAUUCAUUGGAGGGAAUCUGGUUACUUGGAAGAGUAAGAAGCAGAAGGUCAUCUCCUGUUCAAGUGCUGAAGCUGAGUAUAGAGCUAUGUUGAAGCUUACAAAUGAGUUGGUGUGGAUCAAGGGGAUCUUGAAGCACUUGGAGAUCGAGCAGGCCACACCUAUGACAAUGCAUUGUGACAAUCAAGCAGCUAUCCACAUUGCCUCCAAUUCAGUGUUUCAUGAGAGAACAAAGCACAUAGAGGUGGAUUGUCAUAAGGUGAGGCAGAUGAUCAUCUUAGGAGUGAUUCUGCCAUGUUAUACAAGAAGUGAAGAUCAGCUUGCAGAUGUGUUUACUAAGGCAGCGAGAUUGAAGACAAUGGAGUCCAUACUGUCAAGGCUUGGACUCAUUGAUCUGACUCCUAGGAGCUGAGCCCCUUAACCAUGGAGUCUCCACUCUUUUUCCCUCAUCAAGGUUUUAUCCCAAUGGGUUUUACUUGGUGAGGUUUUUAACGAGGGAGGUCUUCAUGGUUUCCAAGCUUGACUUGUUCUACAUGGUCAAGCUUGAGGGGGAGUAUUGAGAUGAAGACCAAGGAGGCUGAGACAGUAACUUUAGAGUUUUACUGUGGUAACUUUAUUUUAACCACAGUAACUACUUGGGGAAGUUAUCUGAUGGGAUGAGAAGGUAACUUAGUGAAGAGAAGAGAGGAAACUCGACCAAAGAGGAUAAGUGAGGUUAAGGAAGGAUAAGGGAUCACUUUGACAGCCUGUAUGAUGCUGGAAAGGAGAAGUUACCUUUAUACUAGUGCAAGCAUGUGAGAAAGCACAGCCAAGUGAUUCAAAAGGAGUUCCAGCCUGUCCCUUGACUACACAUGCUUAACCAUUUCGAAUUUCCUUGUUGCUCUCUCUAUUAAUACUUGUAAACCUCAUCAGUUAUUAAUUAAUGGAGUUUUGAGUCUCUCUCUCUUUAUUCUCUCACUAGAAUCUCUUAAUCUCUUUAAUCUUUUCAUCUGAUUGUCCCUAAUUGGUUGAAUCAUGCUCUAAUACACAAAAGUGUAUAGGUUUAGCAUUAGGGUUUUCGAUUUUCACUUUAAGAACAUGGGGGCUGCAGCCUUGUUUUCUCAACUUUCAAUCUAAGAAUUAUUCAGUCAACUUUGUUGUCUUGUCUCUAGCUUUCUCUGUUCAGCUCUAGAACAUUGAUCUCACUUAAAGGAAGGAAUUCCUGUGAAUCCCAUCUUAGACAAUACAAGGUGAUCUUGUGUCUUUGAGUAGCAAACCAUCCUUGGCGCCAACCCAUAGGCUCAGGGAGACGUCCACAGUUCAAAGGAGAGCUAGUAGCCUCUUAGAACAUCCUCUAUCCAUCCACCUUCAAGUGAUCCAGAGUUUAAGCCAUACCCAGGCUGCACCAAGUGGUAUCAGAGCCACUUGAAGGUUAGGGUUUGCAAUUUGACUACUCAGAUCAUUCAUUCCAUCAAACACUUCUCUUAUCUUUCUAUCUGUUGUAAGCCAGCUGAGCCAACCCUGCAAAUCAAAAAAAAAAAAAGAAAAGAAAAGAGAUCUCUGAUCCAAAUCAAAAAAAAAUAUAUAGCUGAAGAGUAAUCCAGCUAGCUGAGGAGAAAUCCAGCUCAGGGUGGUAAAGUCAGCUGGUGCCUAAAUCUCUUAAUACUUCCUAUCUGAUUCAUUGGGGUUUUAGUUCUAGAUCUUAAGUGUAGAACUUUGUUUUUCAACUGAACUUGUGGGAAGAGCUGAGACUUGGCGAUUUGAAAACUUGAGUGAGAGAGAGAUAUAAUUUUGUUCCUGGCUUUGUGUUUUCUCUAACUAUUUCAGGAACAAUGAGUGAAGAGAGGCGAGAUGGAAAGCAACCUGAGAGUUCAGGAGAACCGGCUGUCCAGCAAAUCAACCUCAACCAAGUUCAAUUUGAGGCUAUGAUAGCUGAGAUAACCAGAAGAAUGCAAAACACUUACAACCGUGUUCAACAAGCUAAUGAAACUUUACCUGGUGAUAAUGCAGGGCAAGAGAGGGACGCGGUUGCUGCUGGAGUUCAGAGAGCACGCAUUGGACCUAUAAGAGGGCAACGAGUUGAGCUUAGGGGUCGUGGGAUUUAUGGAGAACAUUAUCAAGAAGAUUCAGCUGAUGAAAGUGAUGAUGGAUCUCAGGCUAGUCAUCAUGGUAGAAAUCACAACCGCAGGCGACCAGCUACUGAUAACCUAGGCAAUCUCAAGCUUAGAAUCCCUCCAUUCCAUGGGAAGAAUGAUCCUGAUGCUUACUUAGAGUGGGAGAAGAAGAUUGAACUGGUUUUCAAUUGCCAACAGUUCACUGAGGAGAGGAAAGUGAGACUAGCAGCUACUGAAUUCUGUGGUUAUGCUAUUAGCUGGUGGGAUCAGAUUGCUACUACCAGGAGACGCAAUGGAGAGCCUCAGGUAGCUUCAUGGUUUGAGAUGAAAACUGUGAUGAAGAAGAGAUUUGUUCCUAAUCACUAUGGAAGAGAUCUACACCAGAAGUUGAGAAGGCUUUCUCAAGGAUCUAAGAGUGUAGAGGACUAUCACCAGGAGAUGGAAACACUCAUGUUGAAAGCUGACUUAGAAGAAGAAGUAGAAGCUACUAUGGCUAGAUUCCAAGGAGGUCUUAACAGAGAUAUACAAGAUAGGUUGGAGCUACAAGAGUAUGAGGACAUGGAUGAACUGCUACAUAAGGCUAUUUUGAUUGAGCAGCAGAACAAGAGGAAGAGCUCUACCCGGUCUUCAUACACCCCUGCCUCAAAACCGGCCUACUCCAAGGAAGAUAAGCCAGGGGAUAAGUCCAAAGAAGGGUCUUCUUCAGUGGAGAACAAGAGAGAUGACAAGGGUAAAGGAGUAGCCACACCUACUAAGACCAGGAACAUUAAGUGUUUCAAGUGUCAUGGCUUUGGUCACUAUGCUAAUGAGUGCACCAACAAGAAGGUGAUGACUAUCUUAGCCGACGGGGAGGUGAUAUCUGAAGAGGAGGACGCCGGCCAAGAGUCUGAUGAGGAAGGCGUGGAGUACCCUGUCCGUGGAGAGCUAUUAGUCACCAGGAGACUUCUCAAUGCUCAACCUAAACCCAAAGAAGAUGAGCAAAGGGAAAACUUGUUUCACACCAGAUGCUUGAUUCAAGAAAAGGUUUGUAGCUUGAUCAUUGAUGGAGGAAGUUGUACUAAUGUAGCAAGUGCUGAGUUGGUGGAGAAGUUGGGUCUUCAAGUGUUCAAGCAUCCUAAGCCAUAUCUGUUGCAAUGGAUCAAUGAUGAGGGAGGAUUAAAGAUCACCAAGCAAGUGAAGGUAUUGCUAUCAGUGGGAAAGUACCAGGAUGAGAUCACUUGUGAUGUAGCACCCCUGGAAGCUAGUCACAUCCUUCUUGGACGUCCAUGGCAGUAUGAUAAGAGAUCAGUACAUGAUGGCUUUACCAACAGAUACACUUUUAUCCAUAAGGAGAAACAAGUUACCCUGGCGCCAAUGACCCCUCAGGAGGUACACCAGGAUCAGAUGCAUCUCAAAAUGAAGAGAGGAGAGUCCAAGGCCGCCAGCAAAUCCUUGCUUCUUGAAGAGACCAGCCAGGUAAGUAAACUCAACCUCUUUGCUACUGCUAAAGAUAUCAAAACUGCUGUGAUUGAACAAUCAAAUUUGAUACUAGUAGUUUACAAAGAAUUGUUGAGCUCUACUACUAACCCUGCUCCUGAGACUCCAGAGGAGAUUGAGUGUCUUUUGCAGGAGUAUAGAGAUGUGUUCCCAGAGGACAAUCCCAUAGGUCUGCCGCCUAUUAGGGGAAUAGAGCACCAGAUUGACUUUGUACCAGGAGCUACUUUACCAAACCGUCCAGCAUACAGGACCAACCCUGUGGAGACUAAGGAGCUUCAGAAACAAGUCAAUGAGCUAAUGGAGAAGGGACAUAUCAGGGAGAGUAUGAGUCCUUGUGCUGUACCUGUCCUCUUGGUGCCAAAAAAAGAUGGAAGCUGGAGGAUGUGUGUGGACUGCAGAGCCAUCAACAACAUAACAGUUAAGUACAGACAUCCUAUUCCUCGCUUAGAUGAUAUGCUAGAUGAGUUACAUGGUUCAUGUGUCUUUUCUAAAAUUGAUUUAAAGAGUGGUUACCACCAGAUUAGAAUGAAAGAAGGAGAUGAGUGGAAAACUGCCUUUAAAACUAAGCUAGGAUUGUAUGAAUGGCUUGUGAUGCCUUUUGGGCUUACUAAUGCACCUAGUACCUUCAUGAGAUUAAUGAAUCAUGUCUUGAGAGCUUUGAUAGGACGAUUUGUAGUUGUUUACUUUGAUGAUAUCCUGAUUUACAGCAAGACUAUGAAAGAACAUGUUAAUCACUUGAAGCAAGUUCUAGAUGUGCUUAGAAAAGAAAAUCUGUAUGCUAACUAUAAGAAGUGCUCUUUUGGCACAGAUAACCUUGUCUUUUUAGGUUUUGUUGUGACUUCACAGGGCAUACAGGUUGAUGAGGAAAAGGUGAAGGCUAUCAGGGAGUGGCCGAUUCCUAAAUCUAUUGGAGAGGUCAGAAGUUUUCAUGGACUUGCUGGCUUCUACCGGAGGUUUGUGAGAGAUUUCAGUACAGUUGCAGCACCCCUGACUGAAGUAGUCAAGAAGAGUGUAGGUUUCACUUGGGGACCAGCACAAGAAGAGGCAUUUCAAAUGCUAAAAGAGAAGUUAACAAGUGCUCCCUUACUUGCACUUCCUGACUUUUCUAAGACUUUUGAAAUUGAAUGUGAUGCAUCUGGUAUUGGAAUUGGAGCUGUGUUGAUGCAGGAUAAGAAACCCAUAGCUUAUUUCAGUGAGAAGCUAGGAGGCGCCACCUUAAACUAUCCUACCUAUGACAAGGAGCUGUAUGCCUUGGUGAGAGCUUUACAAGUGUGGCAACAUUACUUGUGGCCUAAGGAGUUUGUGAUCCAUACAGAUCAUGAAUCCCUUAAACAUCUCAAAGGGCAACAGAAGCUGAACAAGAGACACGCCAGGUGGGUGGAGUUCAUUGAGACCUUUCCUUAUGUCAUUCACUACAAGAAAGGUAAGGAGAACGUAGUGGCUGAUGCACUCUCCAGAAGGUAUACUCUUUUAUCUUCAAUGGAAACUAAACUCUUAGGAUUUGAACACAUCAAAUCUUGCUAUGCUAAUGAUCCUGAGUUUAAAGAUGUGUUUAGAGAAUCUGAGAAACAUGCUAGUGGAAAAUUCUAUCAAGUAAAAGGAUUUCUUUUCUAUGAUAACCGCCUGUGUGUUCCUAGUGGUUCUUUGAGAGAAUUGUAUGUUAGGGAAGCUCACGCAGGAGGGCUGAUGGGACACUUUGGGGUCGCCAAAACACUCUCCACCUUGCAGGAGCACUUCUACUGGCCGAGUAUGAAGAAAGAAGUGGAGCGUGUGUGCUCAAGGUGUGUCGUGUGCAAGCAAGCCAAGUCUAAGGUCCAACCAACAGGUUUGUAUACACCUCUCCCUAUUCCUACUGCACCAUGGAUUGAUAUCUCUAUGGACUUUGUCUUAGGAUUGCCUAGAACUAGGAAAGGAAGAGAUAGCAUCUUUGUGGUUGUUGAUAGAUUUUCUAAGAUGGCUCACUUCAUACCUUGUCAUAAAACUGAUGAUGCAUCUUUGGUAGCUGAUCUAUUCUUUAGAGAAGUUGUUAGAUUGCAUGGUAUGCCUAGGACUAUAGUUUCUGAUAGAGAUACUAAGUUCCUUAGCUAUUUCUGGAAAACUCUGUGGGGAAAGUUGGGAACUAAGCUAUUGUUUUCAACUACUUGUCAUCCCCAAACUGAUGGUCAAACUGAAUCAGUCAAUAGGACAUUGUCUACUCUUUUGCGUGCCAUCAUUAAGAGUAACAUUAGGACAUGGGAGGAUUGUUUACCACAUGUAGAGUUUGCAUAUAACAGAGCAGUGCAUUCAGCUACUAAACUCUCUCCUUUUCAAGUUGUUUAUGGGUUUAACCCAUUGUCUCCUCUUGAUUUAUUUGCUUUACCUUUAAAAGAACAAACUAACCUUGAUGGCAAGCAAAAGGCCGAGUUUGUUUUGUCUUUGCAUGAACAGGUCAGGAAGAACAUUGAGGAGAGGACCAAGAUGUAUGAGAGGCAGAAGAACAAGGGGCGCAAGGAGCUAGUACUUGAACCGGGUGAUCUUGUGUGGAUUCACAUGAGAAAAGAGAGGUUUCCUGUUGAGAGGAAAUCAAAGUUGCUGCCAAGGAAAGAUGGACCUUUCAAAGUGCUGAAGAGAAUCAACAACAAUGCCUACCAGAUUGAUCUUGAAGGGAAAUACACAAUCAGUUCUACUUUCAAUGUUUCUGACUUGGAUCCUUUUAUUGCAGAUGAUUUGGAUUUGAGGUCAAAUCCUUUUAAAGGAGGAGGGGAUGGUGUAGCCAUGAGUAGAGACAUUGGAGAGCUGAGUGAGUCUGAUGAGGGAGAGCCAGACUUGAGAAGAGAAGAGCCAGACUUGAGCAGAGAAGAACCAGAGCCAGACUUGAGCAGAGAAGAACCAGACUUGAGCAGAGAAGAACCAAAUGAGCUAGCCAGCUUGUGGAGUGGACCAGUAACCAGAUCAAGACUGAGAGCACAAGAGGAGAGGCUCCAGGAGAUAGCCAAAACCGUGGGCCUUGGUUCAAGACAAGGAGAUCAAGAUAAACCAGCUUGUUGGUUUAAUUUAAUUACUUUGUAAGGGUUUUGGUUAUUGGGCUUUCAUUUAAUUUAAACCAAAGACAAUUAGGAUUAGAAUUAGAAUUAAACCACCUUGGUUUAGCAUUAGGGUUUUCGAUUUUCACUUUAAGAACAUGGGGGCUGCAGCCUUGUUUUCUCAACUUUCAAUCUAAGAAUUAUUCAGUCAACUUUGUUGUCUUGUCUCUAGCUUUCUCUGUUCAGCUCUAGAACAUUGAUCUCACUUAAAGGAAGGAAUUCCUGUGAAUCCCAUCUUAGACAAUACAAGGUGAUCUUGUGUCUUUGAGUAGCAAACCAUCCUUGGCGCCAACCCAUAGGCUCAGGGAGACGUCCACAGUUCAAAGGAGAGCUAGUAGCCUCUUAGAACAUCCUCUAUCCAUCCACCUUCAAGUGAUCCAGAGUUUAAGCCAUACCCAGGCUGCACCACAACUUCCUAGUGAUUCUCCAUUACUUUAUGUAUCAAAAUCAAGAUUCUUACAUCGCGAUUCAUCCUGGUUUGAUUAGAAUGACAAAGAAGCUGUCAUAUUCCCAAACAGGAAAACUGGGAUCACCUGAUUUGAAAGUGGGAUAGCUUCUUCAUCCUAACUCCUAUGAGAUUUCUUCUACUUCCUAGUGAUUCUCCAUUACUUUAUGUAUCAAAAUCAAGCUUCUUAUAUCGCGAUUCAUCCUGGUUCAAUUAGAAUGACAAGGAAGCUGUUAUAUUCCCAAACAGGAAAACUGGGAUCACCUGAUUUGAAAGUGGGAUAGCUUCUAUAUCCUAACUCCUAUGAGAUUUAUUCAACUUCCUAGUGAUUCUCCAUUACUUUAUGUAUCAAAAUCAAGCUUCUUACAUCAAGAUUCAUCCUGGUUUGAUUAGAAUGACAAAGAAGCUAUCACAUUCCCAAACAGGAAAACUGGGAUCACCUGAUUUGAAAGUGGGAUAGCUUCUUCAUCCUAACUCCUAUGAGAUUUAUUCAACUUCCUAGUGAUUCUCCAUUACUUUAUGUAUCAAAAUCAAGCUUCUUAUAUCGCGAUUCAUCCUGGUUCUAUUAGAAUGACAAGGAAGCUGUUAUAUUCCCAAACAGGAAAACUGGGAUCACCUGACUUGAAAGUGGGAUAGCUUCUUCGUCCUAACUCCUAUGAGAUUUAUUCAACUUUCUAGUGAUUCACCAUUACUUUAUGUAUCAAAAUCAAGCUUCUUACAUCACGAUUCAUCCUGGUUUGAUUAGAAUGACAAAGAAGCUGUCAUAUUCCCAAACAGGAAAACUGGGAUCACCUGAUUUGGAAGUGGGAUAGCUUCUUCAUCCUAACUCCAAUGAGAUUUAUUCAAUUUCCUAGUGAUUCUCCAUUACUUUAUGUAUCAAAAUCAAGCUUCUUAUAUCGCGAUUCAUCCUGGUUCAAUUAGAAUGACAAGGAAGCUGUUAUAUUCCCAAACAGGAAAACUCGGAUCACCUGAUUUGUAAGUGGGAUAGCUUCUUCAUCCUAACUCCUAUGAGAUUUAUUCAACUUCCUAGUGAUUCUCCAUUACUUUAUAUAUCAGAAUCAAGCUUCUUACAUCGCGAUUCAUCCUGGUUUGAUUAGAAUGACAAAAAAGCUGUCAUAUUCCCAAACAGGAAAACUGGAUCACCUGAUUUGAAAGUAGGAUAGCUUCUUCAUCCUAACUCCUAUGAGAUUUAUUCAACUUCCUAGUGAUUCUCCAUUACUUUAUAUAUCAAAAUCAAGCUUCUUACAUCGCGAUUCAUCCUGGUUUGAUUAGAAUGACAAAGAAGCUGUCAUAUUCCCAAACAGGAAAAGUGGGAUCACCUGAUUUGAAAGUGGGAUAGCUUCUUCAUCCUAACUCCUAUGAGAUUUAUUCAACUUCCUAGUGAUUCACCAUUACUUUAUGUAUCAAAAUCAAGCUUCUUACAUCACGAUUCAUCCUGGUUUGAUUAGAAUGACAAAGAAGCUGUCAUAUUCCCAAACAGGAAAACUGGGAUCACCUGAUUUGAAAGUGGGAUAGCUUCUUCAUCCUAACUCCUAUGAGAUUUAUUCAACUCCCUAGUCAUACACCAUUACUUUAUGUAUCAAAAUCAAGCUUCUUACAUCAAGAUUCAUCCUGGUUUGAUUAGAAUGACAAAGAAGCUAUCAUAUUCCCAAACAGGAAAACUGGGAUCACCUGAUUUGAAAGUGGGAUAGCUUCUUCAUCCUAACUCCAAUGAGAUUUAUUCAACUUCCUAGUGAUUCUCCAUUACUUUAUGUAUCAAAAUCAAGCUCCUUAUAUCGCUAUUCAUCCUGGUUCUAUUAGAAUGACAAAGAAGCUGUUAUAUUCCGAAACUGGAAAACUGGGAUCACCUGAUUUGAAGGUGGGAUAGCUUAUUCAUCCUAACUCCCAUGAGAUUUAUUCAACUUCCUAGUGAUUCUCCAUUACUUUAUGUAUCAAAAUCAAGCUUCUUACAUCGCGAUUCAUCCUGGUUUGAUUAGAAUGACAAAGAAGCUGUCAUAUUCCCAAACAGGAAAACUGGGAUCACCUGAUUUGAAAGUGGGAUAGCUUCUUCAUCCUAACUCCUAUGAGAUUUCCAUUACUUUAUAUAUCAGAAUCAAGCUUCUUACAUCGCGAUUCAUCCUGGUUUGAUUAGAAUGACAAAAAGGCUGUCAUAUUCCCAAACAGGAAAACUGGAUCACCUGAUUUGAAAGUGGGAUAGCUUCUUCAUCCUAACUCCUAUGAGAUUUAUUCAACUUCCUAGUGAUUCUCCAUUACUUUAUGUAUCAAAAUCAAGCUUCUUACAUCGCGAUUCAUCCUGGUUUGAUUAGAAUGACAAAGAAGCUGUCAUAUUCCCAAACAGGAAAACUGGGAUCACCUGAUUUGAAAGUGGGAUAGCUUCUUCAUCCUAACUCCUAUGAGAUUUAUUCAACUUCCUAGUGAUUCUCCAUUACUUUAUGUAUCAAAAUCAAGCUUCUUACAUCACGAUUCAUCUGGUUGAUUAGAAUGACAAAGAAGCUGUCAUAUUCCCAAACAGGAAAACUGGGAUCACCUGAUUUGAAAGUGGGAUAGCUUCUUCAUCCUAACUCCUAUGAGAUUUAUUCAACUUCCUAGUGAUUCUCCAUUACUUUAUGUAUCAAAAUCAAGCUUCUUACAUCGCGAUUCAUCCUGGUUUGAUUAGAAUGACAAAGAAGCUGUCAUAUUCCCAAACAGGAAAACUGGGAUCACCUGAUUUGAAAGUGGGAUAGCUUCUUCAUCCUAACUCCUAUGAGAUUUAUUCAACUUCCUAGUGAUUCUCCAUUACUUUAUGUAUCAAAAUCAAGCUUCUUACAUCGCGAUUCAUCCUGGUUUGAUUAGAAUGACAAAGAAGCUGUCAUAUUCCCAAACAGGAAAACUGGGAUCACCUGAUUUGAAAGUGGGAUAGCUUCUUCAUCCUAACUCCUAUGAGAUUUAUUCAACUUCCUAGUGAUUCUCCAUUACUUUAUAUAUCAAAAUCAAGCUUCUUACAUCGCGAUUCAUCCUGGUUUGAUUAGAAUGACAAAAAAGCUGUCAUAUUCCCAAACAGGAAAACUGGAUCACCUGAUUUGAAAGUAGGAUAGCUUCUUCAUCCUAACUCCUAUGAGAUUUAUUCAACUUCCUAGUGAUUCUCCAUUACUUUAUGUAUCAAAAUCAAGCUUCUUACAUCGCGAUUCAUCCUGGUUUGAUUAGAAUGACAAAGAAGCUGUCAUAUUCCCAAACAGGAAAACUGGGAUCACCUGAUUUGAAAGUGGGAUAGCUUCUUCAUCCUAACUCCUAUGAGAUUUAUUCAACUUCCUAGUGAUUCUCCAUUACUUUAUGUAUCAAAAUCAAGCUUCUUACAUCGCGAUUCAUCCUGGUUUGAUUAGAAUGACAAAGAAGCUGUCAUAUUCCCAAACAGGAAAACUGGGAUCACCUGAUUUGAAAGUGGGAUAGCUUCUUCAUCCUAACUCCUAUGAGAUUUAUUCAACUUCCUAGUGAUUCUCCAUUACUUUAUGUAUCAAAAUCAAGCUUCUUACAUCGCGAUUCAUCCUGGUUUGAUUAGAAUGACAAGGAAGCUGUCAUAUUCCGACACAGGAAAACUGAGAUCACCUGAUUUGAAAGUGGGAUAGCUUCUUCAUCCUAACUCCUAUGAGAUUUAUUCAACUUCCUAGUGAUUCUCCAUUACUUUAUGUAUCGAAUCAAGCUUCUUACAUCGCGAUUCAUCCUGGUUUGAUUAGAAUAACAAAGAAGCUGUCAUAUUCCCAAACAGGAAAACUGGGAUCACCUGGUUUGAAAGUGGGAUAGCUUCUUCAUCCUAACUCCUAUGAGAUUUAUUCAACUUUCUAGUGAUUCUCCAUUACUUUAUGUAUCAAAAUCAAGUUUCUUACAUCGCGAUUCAUCCUGGUUUAUUUAGAAUAACAAAGAAGCUGUCAUAUUCCCAAACAGGAAAACUGGGAUCACCUGAUUUGAAAGUGGGAUAGCUUCUUCAUCCUAACUCCUACGAGAUUUAUUCAACUUCCUAGUGAUUCUCCAUUACUUUAUGUAUCAAAAUCAAGCUUCUUACAUCGCGAUUCAUCCUGGUUUGAUUAGAAUGACAAAGAAGCUGUCAUAUUCCCAAACAGGAAAUUGGGAUCACCCGAUUUGAAAGUGGGAUAGCUUCUUCAUCCUAACUCCUAUGAGAUUUAUUCAACUUCCUAGUGAUUCUCCAUUACUUUAUGUAUCAAAAUCAAGCUUCUUACAUCGCGAUUCAUCCUGGUUUAUUAGAAUGACAAAGAAGCUGUCAUAUUCCCAAACAGGAAAACUGGGAUCACCUGAUUUGAAAGUGGGAUAGCUUCUUCAUCCUAACUCCUAUGAGAUUUAUUCAACUUCCUAGUGAUUCUCCAUUACUUUAUGUAUCAAAAUCAAGCUUCUUACAUCGCGAUUCAUCCUGGUUUGAUUAGAAUGACAAAGAAGCUGUCAUAUUCCCAAACAGGAAAACUGGGAUCACCUGAUUUGAAAGUGGGAUAGCUUCUUCAUCCUAACUCCUAUGAGAUUUAUUCAACUUCCUAGUGAUUCUCCAUUACUUUAUGUAUCAAAAUCAAGCUUCUUACAUCGCGAUUCAUCCUGGUUUGAUUAGAAUGACAAAGAAGCUGUCAUAUUCCCAAACAGGAAAACUGGGAUCACCUGAUUUGAAAGUGGGAUAGCUUCUUCAUCCUAACUCCUAUGAGAUUUAUUCAACUUCCUAGUGAUUCUCCAUUACUUUAUGUAUCAAAAUCAAGCUUCUUACAUCGCGAUUCAUCCUGGUUUGAUUAGAAUGACAAAGAAGCUGUCAUAUUCCCAAACAGGAAAACUGGGAUCACCUGAUUUGAAAGUGGGAUAGCUUCUUCAUCCUAACUCCUAUGAGAUUUAUUCAACUUCCUAGUGAUUCUCCAUUACUUUAUGUAUCAAAAUCAAGCUUCUUACAUCGCGAUUCAUCCUGGUUUGAUUAGAAUGACAAAGAAGCUGUCAUAUUCCCAAACAGGAAAACUGGGAUCACCUGAUUUGAAAGUGGGAUAGCUUCUUCAUCCUAACUCCUAUGAGAUUUAUUCAACUUCCUAGUGAUUCUCCAUUACUUUAUGUAUCAAAAUCAAGCUUCUUACAUCGCGAUUCAUCCUGGUUUGAUUAGAAUAACAAAGAAGCUGUCAUAUUCCCAACAGGAAAACUGGGAUCACCUGAUUUGAAAGUGGGAUAGCUUCUUCAUCCUAACUCCUAUGAGAUUUAUUCAACUUCCUAGUGAUUCUCCAUUACUUUAUGUAUCAAAAUCAAGCUUCUUACAUCGAUUCAUCCUGGUUUGAUUAGAAUGACAAAGAAGCUGUCAUAUUCCCAAACAGGAAAACUGGGAUCACCUGAUUUGAAAGUGGGAUAGCUUCUUCAUCCUAACUCCUAUGAGAUUUAUUCAACUUCCUAGUGAUUCUCCAUUACUUUAUGUAUCAAAAUCAAGCUUCUUACAUCGCGAUUCAUCCUGGUUUGAUUAGAAUGACAAAGAAGCUGUCAUAUUCCCAAACAGGAAAACUGGGAUCACCUGAUUUGAAAGUGGGAUAGCUUCUUCAUCCUAACUCCUAUGAGAUUUAUUCAACUUCCUAGUGAUUCUCCAUUACUUUAUGUAUCAAAAUCAAGCUUCUUACAUCACGCGAUUCAUCCUGGUUUGAUUAGAAUGACAAAGAAGCUGUCAUAUUCCCAAACAGGAAAACUGGGAUCACCUGAUUUGAAAGUGGGAUAGCUUCUUCAUCCUAACUCCUAUGAGAUUUCUUCAACUUCCUAGUGAUUCUCCAUUACUUUAUGUAUCAAAAUCAAGCUUCUUACAUCGCGAUUCAUCCUGGUUUGAUUAGAAUGACAAAGAAGCUGUCAUAUUCCCAAACAGGAAAACUGGGAUCACCUGAUUUGAAAGUGGGAUAGCUUCUUCAUCCUAACUCCUAUGAGAUUUAUUCAACUUCCUAGUGAUUCUCCAUUACUUUAUGUAUCAAAAUCAAGCUUCUUACAUCGCGAUUCAUUCUGGUUUGAUUAGAAUGACAAAGAAGCUGUCAUAUUCCCAAACAGGAAACUGGGAUCACCCGAUUUGAAAGUGGGAUAGCUUCUUCAUCCUAACUCCUAUGAGAUUUAUUCAACUUCCUAGUGAUUCUACAUUACUUUAUGUAUCAAAAUCAAGCUUCUUACAUCGCGAUUCAUCCUGGUCUGAUUAGAAUGACAAAGAAGCUGUCAUAUUCCCAAACAGGAAAACUGGGAUCACCUGAUUUGAAAGUGGGAUAGCUUCUUCAUCCUAACUCCUAUGAGAUUUAUUCAACUUCCUAGUGAUUCUCCAUUACUUUAUGUAUCAAAAUCAAGCUUCUUACAUCGCGAUUCAUCCUGGUUUGAUUAGAAUGACAAAGAAGCUGUCAUAUUCCCAAACAGGAAAACUGGGAUCACCUGAUUUGAAAGUGGGAUAGCUUCUUCAUCCUAACUCCUAUGAGAUUUUAUUCAACUUCCUAGUGAUUCUCCAUUACUUUAUGUAUCAAAAUCAAGCUUCUUACAUCGCGAUUCAUCCUGGUUUGAUUAGAAUGACAAAGAAGCUGUCAUAUUCCCAAAUAGGAAAACUGGGAUCACCUGAUUUGAAAGUGGGAUAGCUUCUUCAUCCUAACUCCUAUGAGAUUUAUUCAACUUUCUAGUGAUUCUCCAUUACUUUAUGUAUCAAAAUCAAGCUUCUUACAUCGCGAUUCAUCCUGGUUUGAUUAGAAUGACAAGGAAGCUGUCAUAUUCCGAAACAUGAAAACUGGGAUCACCUGAUUUGAAAGUGGGAUUGCUUCUUCAUCCUAACUCCUAUGAGAUUUAUUCAACUUCCUAAUGAUUCUCCAUUACUUUAUGUAUCAAAUCAAGCUUCUUAUAUCGCGAUUCAUCCUGGUUUGAUUAGAAUAACAAAGAAGCUAUCAUAUUCCAAAACAGGAAAACUGGGAUCACCUGAUUUGAAAGUGGGAUAGCUUCUUCAUCCUAACUCCUAUGAGAUUUAUUCAACUUUCUAGUGAUUCUCCAUUACUUUAUGUAUCAAAAUCAAGCUUCUUACAUAGCAAUUCGUCCUGGUUUGAUUAGAAUGACAAAGAAGCUGUCAUAUUCCCAAACAGGAAAACUGGGAUCACCUGAUUUGAAAGUGGGAUAGCUUCUUCAUCCUAACUCCUAUGAGAUUUCUUCAACUUCCUAGUGAUUCUCCAUUACUUUAUGUAUCAAAAUCAAGCUUCUUACAUCGCGAUUCAUCCUGGUUUGAUUAGAAUGACAAAGAAGCUGUCAUAUUCCCAAACAGGAAAAUUGGGAUCACCUGAUUUGAAAGUGGGACAGCUUCUUCAUCCUAACUCCUAUGAGAUUUAUUCAACUUCCUAGUGAUUCUCCAUUACUUUAUGUAUCAAAAUAAAGCAUCUUACAUAGCGAUUCAUUCUGGUUUGAUGAGAAUGAUAAGGAAGCUGUCAUAUUCCCAAACAGGAAAACUGGGAUCACCUGAUUUGAAAGUGGAAUAGCUUCUUCAUUCUAACUCCUAUGAGAUUUAUUCAACUUCCUAGUGAUUAUCCAUUGCUUUAUGUUUCAAAAUCAAGCUUCUUACAUCGCGAUUCAUCCUGGUUUGAUUAGAAUGACAAGGAAGCUGUCAUAUUCCCAAACAGGAAAACUGGGAUCACCUGAUUUGAAAGUGGGAUAGCUUCUUCAUCCUAACUCCUAUGAGAUUUAUUCAACUUCCUAGUGAUUCUCCAUUACUUUAUGUAUCAAAAUCAAGCUUCUUACAUCGCGAUUCAUCCUGGUUUAGAAUGACAAAGAAGCUGUCAUAUUCCCAAACAGGAAAACUGGGAUCACCUGAUUUGAAAGUGGGAUAGCUUCUUCAUCCUAACUCCUAUGAGAUUUAUUCAACUUCCUAGUGAUUCUCCAUUACUUUGUAUCAAAAUCAAGCUUCUUACAUCGCGAUUCGUUCUGGUUUGAUUAGAUUGACAAAGAAGCUGUCAAAUUCCCAAACAGGAAAACUGGGAUCACCUGAUUUGAAAGUGGGACAGCUUCUUCAUCCUAACUCCUAUGAGAUUUAUUCAACUUCCUAGUGAUUCUCCAUUACUUUAUGUAUCAAAAUCAAGCUUCUUACAUCACGAUUCAUCCUGGUUUGAUUAGAAUGACAAAGAAGCUGUCAUAUUCCCAAAUAGGAAAACUGGGAUCACCUGAUUUGAAAGUGGGAUAGCUUCUUCAUCCUAACUCCUAUGAGAUUUAUUCAACUUCCUAGUGAUUCUCCAUUACUUUAUAUAUCAAAAUCAAGCUUCUUACAUCGCGAUUCAUCCUGGUUUGAUUAGAAUGACAAAGAAGCUGUCAUAUUCCCAAACAGGAAAAUGGGAUCACCUGAUUUGAAAGUGGGAUAGCUUCUUCAUCCUAACUCCUAUGAGAUUUAUUCAACUUCCUAGUGAUUCUCCAUUACUUUAUGUAUCAAAAUCAAGCUUCUUACAUCGCGAUUCAUUCUGGUUUGAUUAGAAUGACAAAGAAGCUGUCAUAUUCCCAAACAGGAAAACUGGGAUCACCUGAUUUGAAAGUGGGAUAGCUUCUUCAUCCUAACUCCUAUGAGAUUUAUUCAACUUCCUAGUGAUUCUCCAUUACUUUAUGUAUCAAAAUCAAGCUUCUUACAUCGCGAUUCAUCCUGGUUUGAAUAGAAUGACAAAGAAGCUGUCAUAUUCCCAAACAGGAAAAUUGGGAUCACCUGAUUUGAAAGUGGGAUAGCUUCUUCAUCCUAACUCCUAUGAGAUUUCUUCAACUUCCUAGUGAUUCUCCAUUACUUUAUGUAUCAAAAUCAAGCUUCUUACAUCGCGAUUCAUUCUGGUUUGAUUAGAAUGACAAAGAAGCUGUCAUAUUCCCAAACAGGAAAACUGGGAUCACCUGAUUUGAAAGUGGGAUAGCUUCUUCAUCCUAACUCCUAUGAGAUUUAUUCAACUUCCUAGUGAUUCUCCAUUACUUUAUGUAUCAAAAUCAAGCUUCUUACAUCGCGAUUCAUCCUGGUUUGAUUAGAAUGACAAGGAAGCUGUUAUAUUCCAAAACAGGAAAACUGGGAUCACCUGAUUUGAAAGUGGCAUAGCUUCUUCAUCCUAACUCCUAUGAGAUUUAUUCAACUUCCUAGUGAUUCACCAUUACUUUAUGUAUCAAAAUCAAGCUUCUUACAUCACGAUUCAUCCUGGUUUGAUUAGAAUUACAAAGAAGCUGUCAUAUUCCCAAACAGGAAAACUGGGAUCACCUGAUUUGAAAGUGGGAUAGCUUCUUCAUCCUAACUCCUAUGAGAUUUCUUCAACUUCCUAGUGAUUCUCCAUUACUUUAAGUAUCAAAAUCAAGCUUCUUACAUCGCGAUUCAUCCUGGUUUGAAUAGAAUGACAAAGAAGCUGUCAUAUUCCCAAACAGGAAAACUGGGAUCACCUGAUUUGAAAGUGGGAUAGCUUCUUCAUCCUAACUCCUAUGAGAUUUAUUCAACUUCCUAGUGAUUCUCCAUUACUUUAUAUAUCAAAAUCAAGCUUCUUACAUCGCGAUUCAUCCUGGUUUGAUUAGAAUGACAAAGAAGCUGUCAUAUUCCCAAACAGGAAAACUGGGAUCACCUGAUUUGAAAGUGGGAUAGCUUCUUCAUCCUAACUCCUAUGAGAUUUCUUCAACUUCCUAGUGAUUCUCCAUUACUUUAUGUAUCAAAAUCAAGCUUCUUACAUCGCGAUUCAUUCUGGUUUGAUUAGAAUGACAAAGAAGCUGUCAUAUUCCCAAACAGGAAAACUGGGAUCACCUGAUUUGAAAGUGGGAUAGCUUCUUCAUCCUAACUCCUAUGAGAUUUUAUUCAACUUCCUAGUGAUUCUCCAUUACUUUAUGUAUCAAAAUCAAGCUUCUUACAUCACGAUUCAUCCUGGUUUGAUUAGAAUGACAAAGAAGCUGUCAUAUUCCCAAACAGGAAAAGUGGGAUCACCUGAUUUGAAAGUGGGAUAGCUUCUUCAUCCUAACUCCUAUGAGAUUUAUUCAACUUCCUAGUGAUUCUCCAUUACUUUAUGUAUCAAAAUCAAGCUUCUUACAUCGCGAUUCAUCCUGGUUUGAAUAGAAUGACAAAGAAGCUGUCAUAUUCCCAAACAGGAAAACUGGGAUCACCUGAUUUGAAAGUGGGACAGCUUCUUCAUCCUAACUCCUAUGAGAUUUCUUCAACUUCCUAGUGAUUCUCCAUUACUUUAUAUAUCAAAAUCAAGCUUCUUACAUCGCGAUUCAUUCUGGUUUGAUUAGAAUGACAAAGAAGCUGUCAUAUUCCCAAACAGGAAAAGUGGGAUCACCUGAUUUGAAAGUGGGAUAGCUUCUUCAUCCUAACUCCUAUGAGAUUUAUUCAACUUCCUAGUGAUUCUCCAUUACUUUAUGUAUCAAAAUCAAGCUUCUUACAUUGCGAUUCAUCCUGGUUUGAUUAGAAUGACAAGGAAGCUGUUAUAUUCCAAAACAGGAAAACUGGGAUCACCUGAUUUGAAAGUGGGAUAGCUUCUUCAUCCUAACUCCUAUGAGAUUUCUUCAACUUCCUAGUGAUUCUCCAUUACUUUAAGUAUCAAAAUCAAGCUUCUUACAUCACGAUUCAUCCUGGUUUGAUUAGAAUGACAAAGAAGCUGUCAUAUUCCCAAACAGGAAAACUGGGAUCACCUGAUUUGAAAGUGGGAUAGCUUCUUCAUCCUAACUCCUAUGAGAUUUCUUCAACUUCCUAGUGAUUCUCCAUUACUUUAUAUAUCAAAAUCAAGCUUCUUACAUCGCGAUUCAUCCUGGUUUGAUUAGAAUGACAAAGAAGCUGUCAUAUUCCCAAACAGGAAAACUGGGAUCACCUGAUUUGAAAGUGGGAUAGCUUCUUCAUCCUAACUCCUAUGAGAUUUCUUCAACUUCCUAGUGAUUCUCCAUUACUUUAUGUAUCAAAAUCAAGCUUCUUACAUCGCGAUUCAUCCUGGUUUGAAUAGAAUGACAAAGAAGCUGUCAUAUUCCCAAACAGGAAAAUUGGGAUCACCUGAUUUGAAAGUGGGAUAGCUUCUUCAUCCUAACUCCUAUGAGAUUUAUUAAACUUCCUAGUGAUUCUCCAUUACUUUAUGUAUUAAAAUCAAGCUUCUUACAUCGCGAUUCAUCCUGAUUCUAUUAGAAUGACAAGGUAUGAUUUUUAAAGAGAUCUCUACUCUUGUAGUAUGUGUGUAUGGAUAAUCUCCAAUGGAGAAUGAUUAGAGCUUGUUUUAGGUGAUUUAGGAGAGAGGUUGAAGAGAGUGUAUAAGAGAAUUAGGAACAGAGAUUAAGAGACUAGAGAGACUGAGAGAAUAAGUGUUUCAGAUUCAUGAAGGAGAAGGGAAACCCCCUUACUCACUUAGUUCAUACAAAAUGCCACAUAUAAGCUUAUAUAUGCUCUUACAAGAUGCAAAUCAUAAACCUAAAUCUAAUGGCUGAUAUAACUUGAAUUUAAAUGGAUGGAUAGGAUGGAGAGUAAGGCUGGUCGUGAUUCUUCAUUGGCUGUGCUCUUGUUGCUUCAUGAUUGGCUCAUUUGAAUCUGGUCAAUGUGGAGACUGGUGCCUGAUUGGUUGCUUAAGGCUCCCUUGAACUUUCCCAUAUAUCAGACUAGAUACAUGGUCAUACACAGCUCUUGGCCAGCCUGUUCCAGCCUGUCUUUUGGCGCCAGCUUCCUUCUUUUGUCUUCUUCUCUUAAUAGCUACCUCUGCCCUAUUUUUGCACCAACCUCAAAUGUGCUCAAAUGGUCGACUGUGAACUUCGGAUGUCUUGUCCGUACGGAUCCGUACGGUCGCCUACAACGUCCGUAACAAAUCCGUACGGCCAGUCCCUAAGUUUGACACACUCGCCAAAACUCUUCUAAGUCCCUCCUGGACUUGGCCUAUCUUUGCACAACCAUCAGAUCACUUCUGGACACAAAGAGACACUCCUGAAGCUUGAUAGACAAUCCCUAAAGGACUUGCCCUAUCUUUGUGCCAGACCAACUCCUCCCAUACUUCUCCUUUCACUCCAUUUCUAUUCUUCAAGUUAACACAAGCUCUAUCUUCUCUUCAGUUCAACACUCCCCCUGAAGCUUGACUUAGGAGAUCCUAAGCCAACUUGGAACUCUGAAGAGUCUCUCAUUAAAACCUUACAAAGGAAAACCCAUUGGGACAAAACCUUGCAAGGGAAAAAGAGUAGAGCUCUCCAAAGCCUAGGGAUUGGCCAGUGAGCUCUUGUGCCUUAGAACCAGUGUGGUUGGACACAAGAAGCUCUGGAUCACGGCCUAAUAGUUGCAGCAACACUUCACAGCUUUGCACACACUUCACACCUCAGCUUCAUCUCUUCAUGGAACCGGUUUGAGACUCCCCUUCUCAACAAGCUUCAUAGCCUUCUUAGAAAGGCAAGGAUGUGACGGGAUCAUCUUUAAGCAUCAGUGAGGCUGAAUCAGACUUCAAACUAUGCUUGCCCUCUUCAUAGAACUUGUUUGGAUCUCCCCCUCUCAACAGACUUCACAGCCACCUUAGAGAAGCUUGGAAAUGAUCAGGAUCAUCUUUAGUGAGGCUCAAGCAAUGGUACCUGAUACAUUAUCCCAAAGGUGCAUCAGUACCUAUCAACACCAAGAAAAUGAAUAUCCUGCAUCCCAAUUGAUGCACACAAUCUCACAAUUCAAUCAUAAACAUUUCCAGUAUCUUUUCAAACACAAGCAAUAAAUAAGAUGAAUGAAAAAGGAUUGAAAAGAGUUUUAAAAGUCUAAGGGAACUUCCCUUGUGUUUUUGUGAGUUUCCUAACUCGGCCAAUGCACCAUCUUCAUGGCAUCAUCAACUUCUUGGAAAGGCAGAAUGGAUUCAUCAGCUUCUCCUCAAUCACCUCUCAUUGAAGCCGCAUUGAUGGAGAGCCUUCUUCCUCACUUGCCAAGACUGCUCUGUGUUGAAAUGAGGUGAUGCAACUAUGUGAUAUGAAGCUAGAGAAGGUUAGAGGCUUGAGGAUGAAGUUAGGGAUGUGAGUGUACGGACAGGCCGUACACGGUGACCGUACAAGGUAAAGAAGAAGUUACCAUGACCGUUUAACCAAGAGGGGAGUAAACGGAUCAUUCUUACCUUCUACCAUGCUCUACUUGGAUCAGACCGUUGAGAGAGCUUGAGGAGCGCAUCUGACAAGCUGUGCCAGGCUGUGACAGACUGUCAGCAUCCUAGUCAAAGAUCCAAGAUGCUUCACACGCGGGAAGAAGCUCAUUGGAUGCUUUAUGAUAUGCGCUCCUCUCCUGGUUGACUCCACAUGCUUUAGCUUAUCUUUAAACCAUGUAAACCCUAAGCUCUCAUACUAUAUAAGUUGUAACCUCAUCAGAUUAAUGAUUAACGAGAUUGAAAUCACUCUCUCUCUACUCUCUCUUAGUUUAAAUCUCAAGCUCUUAAUCACCCACUCUCUCAAACCAUAUACUGUUUAAAUCUUUCACUUAAACUUCUCUUAAUCUUCUUAAUCUCUCAAUACCUUCUUAAAUCUCUAAAAUCUCAUGGUAUCAGAGCCAGGUUGGCUUUGGUAUUGAGAGAUCUUAGUUCCUUUGUGUGAUUCUUACUCAUUCCUUCUUUGUGUUCUUGCGUUUGUUCUUGAUACUUCCGGGAAGUCUUGUCAGUGUGGUGAAGACUGCUAUUGGAGGCUAGGGUUGUGGACGGAUGAUGGUCCAGAGCCAGUGGCCAAAGGGAAUGAGGAAGCUGAGGGUGGAAAAGUACUCACUGAAGCUGAGGUGAAGAAGAAAUGGGUUCAAGAAGAUCUGAUGGUGCUGUCCGUGCUACACAGUUCUAUUGAAGUCCCUUUGCUUGAAGCCUACAUCUUCUGUGAGACACCUAAGCACUAUGGGAGACGCUCCAGAAGACAUUUGGAGAUGUCUCAAACCUUAACCGUGUGUUUGAGUUGAAGAAAGCCAUCACCUCCUUGAUGCAAGGUGGUGUGAGCUUACUACACACAUUGGGAAGUUCAGAGCUCUUUGGUCUGAGCUGGAUAACCUGCGCCCAAGCACCAGUGAUCAAGAGAUCAUCAUGGAGAGGAGAGAGCAGGAUCAAGUGUUUGGGUUGUUGAUGACCUUAGACGUGUGCUACCAGGAUGUCAUAAAGCACAUGCUGAGAUCGCCAAGCCUACCAACAAUGGAGGAGGUGUGCUCUCAACUGCAGAAGGAGGAAGGCUCUCUAGGCUUGUUUGGAGGAAAGGGGGAGCUACCUAUGGCUCAUCAGGCUGAGGAUGUGCAAGCAAACAAGGCGGGUUACAAGAAUGAUGGAAGGAAGUAUGGUGACCGCUUUGAAGGGAAUUGUGAUCAUUGCAAGAAGCCAGGCCAUAAGAAGAGCCAAUGCUGGAUACUUCACCCUCACCUCAAGCCAAGCAAAUUCAACAAGGAGAGAGAAGCCAGAGCUCACAUGUCCACCGAGACAAGCAGUGGCAGUGCAUCCGGGGCUGGUACAUCCUCACAAGUGAAUGAGAGUGAAGGGCGAGCUCUCUCUUCUCACCACUCAGGAGGAAAGAACCUAGAGCAUGAGGUGAUCAGGAAGUCAGACAUAGAUGCACUCAUCAAAGCUCUUAAAGAGUCUGGUAACAAACUAAGACCCAAUACUCUUGGUUAUUCUUUUGCUGCUCAUACUAUGUCUAGUAGAACUGAUAGGUUGCUAGACAUACUAGAGAGUCCCUUGAUUGGUAAAACUGAACAUAGCAUUGCUAAUAAACUCUUAGGAGUACUUGAGAACUUAAAAAUUAACAAUGAUCAUCCUAGAAGUCAUCUAGCUAAGGAUAUACAUAAACCUUUGAUCAUUGAUUCUGGUGCAUCUCAUCACAUGAUUAGUGAUAACAGGUUGAUUACGGAUAUAGAACCUACCCAAGGUCAUGUCAUGAUUGCUAAUGGAGAUAGAAUUCCUAUUAGAGGCAUUGGUAGGUUGAAACUGUUUAAUAAAGAGUCUAAUGCAUUCUACAUGCCUGAAUUUACUUCAAACUUGUUAUCUGUCAAGAGAUGCACUACUGAUCUUGAUUGCAAUGUUAUUUUUAGUCCUAAUGAUGUGAAGUUUCAGGAUAUUAAGAGCAGUAAGUUGAUCGGCCAAGGAGCAACUAAGGGAGACCUUUACAUGCUUGAAGAUCUCUCUCCUAUCUCUAGUUCUUGUUUUUCGUUUAGCUCGGUUUCUUUAAGUAAGGAUGCUUUGUGGCAUGCUAGGCUAGGACAUCCACAUGUUAGGGCCUUAAGCAUAAUGUUACCAGGUGUCAUGUUUAAAAAUAAUGAUUGUGAAGCUUGUAUUUUGGGAAAACAUUGUAAGAGUGUGUUUCAAAGAUCAGUUACAGUUUAUGAGAAGUGUUUUGACUUAAUCCACUCUGAUGUUUGGACUGCACCUUGUUUAUCUAGGGAUAAUUACAAGUAUUAUGUCACCUUCAUUGAUGAAAAAUCUAAAUACACCUGGUUAACACUCAUUAAAACAAAGGAUAGAGUUCUUGAUGCAUUUAAAAACUUUCAAAACUAUGUUACUAACCACUAUAAUGCCAAGAUUAAGAUUUUCAGGUCAGAUAAUGGUGGGGAGUAUACAAGUCAUGCAUUCAAAGAACAUCUAGCUAGCCAUGGAAUACUUCAUCAGACGAGCUGUCCUUAUACACCCCAGCAAAAUGGAGUGGCUGAAAGGAAGAAUAGACACCUCAUGGAGGUGGCGAGAUCAAUGAUGUUCUAUACAAGUGUGCCUAAGAGGCAUUGGAGUGAUGCAGUGAUGACCGCAAGCUACCUAAUCAACAGGACACCAACCAAGAUUCUCAAUGAUCAGUCCCCCUUUGAGGUUCUUAACAAGAGUAAGCCAGUGCUGGAACACUUGAGGAUCUUUGGGUGUGUGUGCUAUGUGCUUGUACCCGGGGAAAUGCGGAACAAGCUAGAAGAGAAGAGUACCAAGGCUAUGAUGAUUGGAUACUCUACGUCCCAAAAGGGAUACAAAUGCUUUGAUCCAAAUACCAGAAGAGUAUUGGUAUCAAGGGAGGUGAAGUUCUUUGAAGAAAAGGGAUAUUAUGAUGGGAAGAAUUGGGAAGAACUUGAAGAUCUAUCCCAACCAUCAGACAGGGCUGCAAGCUUGAGAAACAUUUUGCAAGGACUUGGUAUUGGAGUGUCAUCAGAUCAGCACAAACGCCAAGCAACACCACCUGUUAGAGUUGAAGAAUCAUCUCACUUAGAACAUGAAGGGGGAAGUGAAUCUGCUGAUACUGAAGUUCAAGGAACAAGUGAAGCCGAAAAUCAACAACAAAGCGCAGACUCUCAUGUUCAAAGUGAAGAUGACUCAAGGGGAAGUGAUCAACAUGGAGGUCAGGAAGCUAGUGAAGAAAGCCAGAUACCAGAAGAAGCCGUGGAAGAGAAUAUAGUAGUUCCAUUGAGGAGAAGCACACGGUUAAAGAGAGAUGCUUCCAACUGGGUAAACACAAGAGUGUACUACAAUGCCCAAGCUGUGGAGCAUCCCUCUCAAGCUGUGUGCUCCUUUGCGUGCUAUCCAGAAGAGCAUUGCGCAUUUAUGAUCAGCUUAGAUGGAAGCUAUGUGCCUAGAUCAUAUGAAGAUGCAAUGCUACAUGAAGACUGGAAGGAAUCAGUAGGUGAUGAAGCUAAUGCCAUGAUAAAGAAUGAUACUUGGUUUGAAAGUGAACUGCCAAAAGGAAAGAAGGCAGUAACUAGCAAGUGGAUAUUCACUAUCAAGUACAAGCCUGAUGGGACUAUUGAGAGAAAGAAGACAAGACUGGUGGCUAGAGGAUACACUCAAACAUAUGGGGAAGACUACAUUGACACCUUUGCUCCUGUUGCUAAGCUCCAUACAAUAAGAAUUGUAUUAUCUCUGGCUGUGAAUCUUGAGUGGGAGCUUUGGCAGAUGGAUGUGAAGAAUGCCUUUCUUCAAGGAGAACUAGAAGAUGAAGUGUAUAUGCAUCCACCACCAGGCCUAGGGCAUCUUGUGAAACCUGGAAAUGUGUUGAGACUCAAGAAGGCUAUCUAUGGGUUGAAACAAUCUCCUAGAGCAUGGUACAACAAGCUGAGCACUACUUUAAAUGGGCGUGGAUUCAAGAAAUCAGAAUUGGAUCAUACUCUCUUCACACUUACUUCACCCUCAGGUAUCAUUUGUCUACUUGUGUAUGUUGAUGAUAUCAUUAUAACAGGUAGUGAUAAGGCUGGGAUAAAAGCCACCAAGGAGUUUUUAAAAUCUGUAUUUGAAAUUAAAGACUUAGGAGAAAUGAAAUACUUCCUUGGAAUUGAGUUGUGUAGAUCUAAGGAAGGAUUGUUCAUUUCCCAAAGGAAGUAUACACUUGAUCUUUUGAAAGAUGCAGGUAUACAAGGAGAUAAGACAGCAAGGAUGCCUCUUGAAGAUGGAUACAAGGUUCCACGUGAGGGGGAGAUUGAAGAUAGCAAGGUCUUUCAUGAUCCAAAGCUAUACAGGAAGCUAGUAGGGAAGCUCAUCUACCUUACCAUCACACGUCCGGAUAUAUGCUUUGCUGUGAAUCAAGUGAGCCAGCAUAUGCAAGUCCCAAAGGAGCAUCACUGGCGAAUGGUGGAGAGACUCCUCUUGUAUCUGAACGGUACAUCAGGCCUUGGAGUUUGGAUGGGAUGCAACAAGAGUACUGAAGUGGUGGGCUAUUGUGAUGCUGAUUGGGCAGGAGAUAGAGCAGACAGAAGAUCAACUACCGGCUAUUGUACAUUCAUUGGAGGUAAUCUUGUGACAUGGAAGAGCAAGAAGCAGAAAGUAGUAUCUUGUUCAAGUGCUGAAGCUGAGUAUAGGGCAAUGCUGAAGCUAACCAAUGAGUUGGUGUGGAUCAAAGGGAUCUUGAAACACUUGGAGAUAGAGCAAGCUACACCAAUGACUAUGCAUUGCGACAACCAAGCAGCUAUACACAUUGCAUCCAACUCAGUGUUCCAUGAGAGAACCAAGCACAUUGAAGUAGACUGCCACAAGGUGAGGCAGAUGAUCGUUUUGGGAGUAAUCUUGCCAUGCUAUACAAGGAGUGAGGAUCAGUUAGCGGAUGUAUUCACCAAGGCAGCAAGACAAAAGACAAUGGAGUCCAUACACAUCAGGUUAGGACUCAUUGAUCUUACACCCAUAGAAUAGUCCCCUGAUCAUGAGGUCUUUACUCUUUUUCCCUUAUCAAAGUUUUGUCCCAAAUGGGUUUUCUUUGGUAAGGUUUUUAAUGAGGAAGAUCUCAUGGUCCUUCCAAGCUUAACUUGUUCCACAUGGUUAAGCUUGAGGGGGAGUGUUGAAAUGAGGUGAUGCAACUAUGUGAUAUGAAGCUAGAGAAGGUUAGAGGCUUGAGGAUGAAGUUAGGGAUGUGAGUGUACGGACAGGCCGUACAAGGUGGCCGUACAAGGUAAAGAAGAAGUUACCAUGACCGUUUAACCAAGAGGGGAGUAAACGGAUCAUUCUUACCUUCUACCAUGCUCUACUUGGAUCAGACCGUUGAGAGAGCUUGAGGAGCGCAUCUGACAGGCUGUGCCAGGCUGUGACAGACUGUCAGCAUCCUAGUCAAAGAUUCAAGAUGCUUCACACGCGGGAAGAAGCUCAUUGGAUGCUUUAUGAUAUGCGCUCAUCUCCUGGUUGACUCCACAUGCUUUAGCUUAUCUUUAAACCUUGUAAACUCUAAGCUCUCAUACUAUAUAAGUUGUAACCUCAUCAGAUUAAUGAUUAACGAGAUUGAAUCACUCUCUCUCUACUCUCUCUCUAGUUUAAAUCUCAAAGUCUCUUAAUCACUCUCAAACCAUGAUACUUGUUUAAAUCUUUCACUAAACUUCUCUUUAAUCUUUCUUAAUCUCUCAAUACCUUCUUAAAUCUCUAAAAUCUCACUCUGAACAGCCUCUUGCCUAGACACGCCACUGACUUGGCCCGGUUGAUGAUCCCUUUGUAGAAGCCUUUGCAAAGACUUGUUACUGACCAUGGAUCAUAUGCACUAAGACUCCCCCUCAAGCUUAGAACCGAGACUAUAAGGAGCUAAGCUUGUGAUGAUCCUAUGCAUCUCCAUGGUCUAAUAACUAUCAUCUUUUAUGAUAGCUUUCUUCUUGUGAGUUUUCUCUCUUCCUUAACCAGGAAUUAGGGUGUUUGAAUCACCAUAGAGAGUCUCACAAGACACAUCUCUCAUUGCAUAAUGACCCAUGCUACACUUCCUGUAGACUAAGGACUAGAUAUGUCCAAUGGUAUUAUGCAAUGGCCAUCUCUCAUUGCAUAAUCAAUCACACUACACUUCCUGUAGAUUAUGGACUAACACGUCCAAGUGAUGAUAUGCAAUGACACCAGACCUUUGUCUCUACAUUCUUGGUUGAUGGCGAGUUACAUGUAUCACUUCCCUUGUGUACCUAACACCACCACAACUCAAUGCAAGAUCAGAUCAUCCCAUUGGGAUCAAACUAAGAUCAUCCAUCCUGUUUGAUCACCAAUGCCACAAUAAUGUAUGAUACUUGAAACAAGCUAGACAAUCAAGACAAGAAUAUGCAAAGACAAUGUAUGCUUUCAACAAUAUACUGAUCUUUUUAGGUUCAAUUCAGUUUUUUUUUUUAAAUGCAACAAUAGAUGAAUGCAUUAGGUUACACACUAACUAUAUGAAUGAAACAGAUUCAAUCCAAAUGAACACAAGACUAGAUGAUACUUUAUGCAAUCAAGGCAACAAGCGUGACUCAAUUCAUGCUUAUGCUUACUGGAUUUAUUAAGGCCAAUGAUUCAAGUAGUUUAGACAUACUUCUAAAUCCUACAAGACAUUAGAUGCUAACAAGCAGAUUUUAAUUUCUCUAAAUGCAAUGCAAGCUUACAUCAGUACAUUUGCAAUUUAGGCUCAUUUUUAAAUGCAUUACUACAUGAAUGCACAAUCUUAAAGCAUUAGCUAUAUGAAUGCAACAGGUUCAAUCCAUGAGUAAUAUUAAAGCUCUGCACAACAGUUUCAAUCAGAACCAAUGAUGCAAGCAACUUAGACAAUUUCUAAUUGAUGCAAGACUUUCAUUGAUGGAUUAAACAUAGGCAAUAGCAUCAGAUAACACUGGGAUUGAACUUAGACAGCAUGAGAUAUGCUUAUGUAUGCAAAAUAACCUAUCAAUCAUGAUGCAAGCAGCAGAGACAUUCUACUCAAUUCUACAACACAUUUAUGAUGAUUCAAGCUAUGACAACACCCAAGACAAUGAAAUAAACAGAACAUGAGAUUCUGGGACUCUAGACAUUACUUAUUAACAAUAAGACAAUGCAGCAGCAGAACAAUUUCAGUGCAAUUAGCCUAGACAUUCUACUAGAAGCUAUAAACUCUUAAUGGAAUUAGGGAAAGCACAUAGUAUAAUCAGGAGAUAAACCUAUCAAGACAUAUUAAGAUAGAUGUGUUGAGUUGAGUUGCGUAUAAGUGUGAAGCAAGUGAGGAGUUGAGACUAAGGAGAUGAGUUGAAGCUUGGGAAGGUUUGGGCAAGGUCCGUACAAGUCCGUACGGUCCGUACAUGACCGUACACAUGAAGAUGGGUGAAACCUUGACAAGGGUAAAGAAGUUACUUGCGGUAACUUAGGUGAAGGGAAGGAACUUACCUGGAUGCAUCAGACCGUUUAGGGAUAAGGUAGAGCGCGCCUUGACAGGCUGGAACAGCUGGAAAGGCAAGAGCAUCUCGGUCCAAGAUGCUAGAUGCUCCGCGCAUGUGGAGAAGCUAAUUGGCUUGUUCAAAUGAGCUUAUCCUCUCCUGAUUGACCUCACAUGCUUUAGUCUUCUCUUGAUUUCGAAAACCCUUGUAUGCUCACACUAUAUAUUGUAACUCAUGUCCUUAAUGACAGAUUAGACAGUUCUAAACAAUCUUUCUCUUUACUCAUUUCACUAUGAUUCUCCAUUAGUCUCUAAGUUGUCUCUUAAUCUCUUAUUCUCCUUCUUUAAUCCUUUCUAAACUCAGAUAAUCCUUUACAUUCCUAAAAGUCAUAUGGUAUCAGAGCCAGGUUGAUUACAAUCUGAGUUCGUGAGAGAUUCUCUUAAGGAUUCAAGUUUGAAACUUUAAGAGAACAAGUGAGUGUGUUUGAGAGUUUCUUGAGAGUUCAAAAGCUCAAGGUGUUUUGUGUGUGUCUUGGUGGUCCGUGGGAGGUUCAUUUGAAGACUCAAGAGUGAAUCUGUGUUCUAGAGAGCAGCGUGGGUUCUCAGUACAAGAUCUAACCGGUUGUUCAAGCUAUAGACGUCAAGCUGUUCAAGAUGGAGAGUGGCAUGAAGAUGAAGGUCGCGGUGACAUUCAAAGGAACCAACUACCUAGUCUGGUCUAGGAUGGUGAAGACUGCUGUGGGAAGCAAGGGUUUGUGGAAGCAUAUCACAUCUGGUGAGGCUCCAAAGGUGAUUACUCAGGGGGGUGAAACGGAGAGUCCCGAGGAGAGUGUUGUAGAGAAGUGGCAACAAGAAGACAUGAUGGUGAUGUCAGUCCUUCAUGCCUCUUUGGAGCCGGCUAUACUAGAUGCUUAUAGCUACUGUGAGACAGCCAAGGAGCUGUGGUAACCAAGCUGCCAUCCACAUUGUGAUAACCAAGCUGCCAUCCACAUUGCCUCCAACUCGGUGUUUCAUGAAAGAACCAAGCACAUUGAAGUUGAUUGUCACAAGGUGAGGCAGAUGAUCAUCUUAGGAGUCAUCCUGCCAUGCUACACAAGAAGUGAAGAUCAGUUAGCAGAUGUGUUCACCAAGGCUGCAAGACAAAAGACAAUGGAGUCCAUUCACAUCAGGUUGGGCCUCAUUGAUCUUGGGAAGAGAAGGAGCUGAUCCCCUUUAGCUGUGAGGUCUUUACUCUUUUUCCCUCAUCAAGGUUUUGUCCCAAUGGGUUUUCCUUGAUGAGGUUUUUAAUGAGGAAGAUCUCAUGGCUAUCCAAGCUUAGGCUUUCACAAAGCUAAGCUUGAGGGGGAGUGUUGAGAUAGGUUAUGAAAUAAGGAGAAGCAUGAAGGGAUUAGAGAAGUGAGAGGAGAUGAGACAUGAAGGAGUUGGGAUGGAAUUAGGAGGAAUGGACCGUACAAGGCCGUACAUUCCGUACAAGGCCGUACAUGAUGGUAACUAUAAGUUACCCGAGUAACUCAUCCGGAUGAAGCAAGCUGUGGGUAAAGUCUUGGGAACUUAUCUGAUCCAUCAGACCGUUGAGGAAGGGGAUAAGAGGCGCCUUGACAGACUGGCACAGCUGGAAAGGCAAAAGCUACUUUAUCCAAAGAUCCCAAAGGCAUCAAACGUGUGGGAGCCUUCAUUGGAUAGAUUCAAACUCGGCCAGCCUUACCUAUUGACUUCACAUGCUUAGGGUCUCUGAUUAGGUUUUCGAAAACCCUUGUUGCUUAGACUAUAAAUAUGUAAUCUCAUCUCUUAAUAAAGAUUAGACAGUUCUAAACAAUCUUUCUCUUUACUCAUUUCAUCAUGAUUCUCCAUUAGCCUCUAAUCAGUCUCUUAAAUCUCUUAUUCUCUUCCUUAAUCCUAUUAUAAACUCAGAUUAAUCUUUAUAUUCCUAAAAGUCAUACACGAGAGUGUACUACAAUGCCCAAGCUGUGGAGCAUCCUUCUCAAGCCGUGUGCUUCUUUGCUCAAUAUCCAGAAGAACAUUGUGCCUUCAUGGUUAACUUGGAUGAGAACUACAUCCCAAGAAGCUAUGAAGAAGCAAUCAUGGAUAAAGAAUGGAAGGAAUCAGUUGGAGCUGAGGCAGGAGCUAUGAUCAAGAAUGAUACAUGGUACGAGAGUGAGUUACCAAAAGGGAAGAAGGCUGUGACCAGUAGAUGGAUAUUCACAAUCAAGUACAAAGCGGAUGGAAAGAUUGAGAGGAAGAAGUCAAGGCUAGUUGCAAGAGGUUUCACUCAAACUUAUGGAGAAGAUUACAUAGAAACCUUUGCACCAGUAGCUAAACUACACACAAUCCGGAUUGUACUAAGCUUGGCUGUGAAUCUUGGAUGGGGGUUAUGGCAAAUGGAUGUGAAGAAUGCGUUUCUACAAGGUGAACUUGAGGAUGAAGUGUAUAUGCAUCCACCUCCAGGCCUUGAACACUUAGUGAAGAGUGGGAAUGUGUUGAGACUGAAGAAAGCCAUCUAUGGGCUGAAGCAAUCACCAAGAGCUUGGUACAACAAGUUGAGCAUUACUCUGAAUGGUCGAGGCUUCAAGAAGUCUGAACUAGAUCACAAUCUCUUCACUCUCACGACUCCCUCAGGUAUGAUUGCACUCCUUGUGUAUGUUGAUGAUAUCAUUAUCACAGGGAGUGAUAAGGAAGGUAUCAUAGCAACCAAGGAGUUUCUUAAAUCCAUGUUUGAGAUUAAAGACUUGGGAGAAAUGAAAUACUUCCUUGGAAUUGAGAUAUGUAGAUCCAAGGAAGGUUUGUUCAUGUCCCAAAGGAAAUAUACACUUGAUCUUUUGAAAGGUGCAGGUGCUUAUGGAGGCAAGACAGCAAGGAUGCCUAUGGAGGAUGGCUACAAAGUCCCACGAGAGGGGGAGAUUGAAGACAGCAAACCUUAUCAGGAUCCUAAACUCUAUAGAAAACUAGUUGGCAAAUUGAUUUAUCUUACUAUAACUAGACCUGACAUCUGUUUUGCUGUGAAUCAGGUGAGUCAACACAUGCAAGUGCCUAAGGAGCAUCACUGGCGCAUGGUGGAGAGGAUCUUGAUGUAUCUCAACGGCUCACCUGAUCAAGGAGUAUGGAUGGGCUGCAAUGGAAGCACUGAAGUGGUGGGAUAUUGUGAUGCGGAUUGGGCUGGUGAUAGAGCAGACAGGAGAUCAACCACAGGCUAUUGCACAUUCAUUGGAGGCAACUUGGUGACUUGGAAGAGCAAGAAGCAGAAGGUAGUGUCAUGUUCAAGUGCAGAAGCCGAGUAUAGAGCCAUGCUGAAGCUUACCAACGAGUUGGUAUGGAUCAAAGGCAUCUUGAAGCACUUGGAGAUUGAUCAAGCAACUCCAAUGACAAUGCAUUGUGACAAUCAAGCUGCCAUCCACAUUGCAUCCAACUCGGUGUUUCAUGAGAGGACCAAGCACAUUGAAGUUGAUUGCCACAAGGUGAGACAGAUGAUUGUGCUAGGGGUGAUCUUGCCAUGCUAUACAAGGAGUGAAGAUCAGCUAGCGGAUGUUUUCACCAAGGCUGCAAGGCAAAAGACUAUAAAGUCCAUUCACAUCAGAUUGGGACUCAUAGAUCUUGGGAAGAGAAGGAGCUAAUCCCCUUAGCUGCAAGGUCUUUACUCUUUUUCCCUCAUCAAAGUUUUAUCCCAUUGGGUUUUCUUUGGUGAGGUUUUUAAUGAGGAAGAUCUUGUAGCUUUCCAAGCUUAGGCUUUCACAAAGCUAAGCUUGAGGGGGAGUGUUGAGUUGAGUUGAUUAUAUUGGUAUGGAGAGAAGAGGAGUUGAAGAGGAGAAGAGAUGGAGAAGCUUAGGGAGUUUGGGUGUGAAUGGUACGGACGUCCGUUCAAGGCCGUACAUGGCCGUACCGUCCGUACCAAAGGUCUCGACCAAAACUUACCCAACCUCGACCAAGUGAAACGGUAACAAGGAAAUGUUACCUUGGGGACUUAAGGAGAAGGGAUCAGACCGUUGAGUGGAUAAGGGAAGAGCGUGCCAGGCUGGAACAGGCUGUAAAGAGGCAAAGCGUGUGAGCCUUAUCAUCCAAUCAUCCGGAAAGCAACCUUGACUCUACAUGCUUCAAUAGUGCCCAUUUCGCCUCUUGUAAACCCUUAUGCUUUCCAUAUAAAUAUGUAACCUCACUCAUUAAUAAGAUUAUGCAGUUUGAGUCUCUCUAAUCUCUUAGACACUAUGGUUCUCUCUUAGUCUCUUAAACACUCUCUUUAUUCUGAUUACUCUAAGGAUCUCUUAAUCUCAUACUUCAUCCUAACUCCUAUGAGAUUUAUUCAACUUCCUAGUGAUUCUCCAUUACUUUAUGUAUCAAAAUCAAGCUUCUUACAUCGCGAUUCAUUCUGGUUUGAUUAGAAUGACAAAGAAGCUGUCAUAUUCCCAAACAGGAAAACUGGGAUCACCUGAUUUGGAAGUGGGAUAGCUUCUUCAUCCUAACUCCUAUGAGAUUUCUUCAACUUCCUAGUGAUUCUCCAUUACUUUAUGUAUCAAAAUCAAGCUUCUUACAUCGCGAUUCAUUUUGGUUUGAUUAGAAUGACAAAGAAGCUGUCAUAUUCCCAAACACGAAAAGUGGGAUCACCUGAUUUGAAAGUGGGAUAGGUUCUUCAUCCUAACUCCUAUGAGAUUUAUUCAACUUCCUAGUAAUUCUCCAUUACUUUAUGUAUCAAAAUCAAGCUUCUUACAUCGCGAUUCAUCCUGGUUCUAUUAGAAUGACAAGGAAGCUGUUAUAUUCUCAAACAGGAAAUUUGGGAUCACCUGAUUUUAAAGUGGGAUAGCUUCUUCAUCCUAACUCCUAUGAGAUUUAUUCAACUUCCUAGUGAUUCUCCAUUACUUUAUAUAUCAAAAUCAAGCUUCUUACAUCCCGAUUCAUUCUGGUUUGAUUAGAAUGACAAAGAAGCUGUCAUAUUCCCAAACAGGAAAAGUGGGAUCACCUGAUUUGAAAGUGGGAUAGCUUCUUCAUCCUAACUCCUAUGAGAUUUAUUCAACUUCCUAGUGAUUCACCAUUACUUUAUGUAUCAAAAUCAAGCUUCUUACAUCACGAUUCAUCCUGGUUUGAUUAGAAUGACAAAGAAGCUGUCAUAUUCCCAAACAGGAAAACUGGGAUCAACUGAUUUGAAAGUGGGAUAGCUUCUUCAUCCUAACUCCUAUGAGAUUUCUUCAACUUCCUAGUGAUUCUCCAUUACUUUAUGUAUCAAAAUCAAGCUUCUUACAUCGCGAUUCAUCCUGGUUUGAAUAGAAUGACAAAGAAGCUGUCAUAUUCCCAAACAGGAAAAUUGGGAUUACCUGAUUUGAAAGUGGGACAGCUUCUUCAUCCUAACUCCUAUGAGAUUUAUUCAACUUCCUAGUGAUUCUCCAUUACUUUAUGUAUCAAAAUCAAGCUUCUUACAUCGCGAUUCAUCCUGGUUCUAUUAGAAUGACAAGGAAGCUGUUAUAUUCCCAAACAGGAAAACUGGGAUCACCUGAUUUGGAAGUGGGAUAGCUUCUUCAUCCUAACUCCUAUGAGAUUUCUUCAACUUCCUAGUGAUUCUCCAUUACUUUAUGUAUCAAAAUCAAGCUUCUUACAUCGCGAUUCAUUUUGGUUUGAUUAGAAUGACAAAGAAGCUGUCAUAUUCCCAAACACGAAAAGUGGGAUCACCUGAUUUGAAAGUGGGAUAGGUUCUUCAUCCUAACUCCUAUGAGAUUUAUUCAACUUCCUAGUAAUUCUCCAUUACUUUAUGUAUCAAAAUCAAGCUUCUUACAUCGCGAUUCAUCCUGGUUCUAUUAGAAUGACAAGGAAGCUGUUAUAUUCUCAAACAGGAAAUUUGGGAUCACCUGAUUUUAAAGUGGGAUAGCUUCUUCAUCCUAACUCCUAUGAGAUUUAUUCAACUUCCUAGUGAUUCUCCAUUACUUUAUAUAUCAAAAUCAAGCUUCUUACAUCCCGAUUCAUUCUGGUUUGAUUAGAAUGACAAAGAAGCUGUCAUAUUCCCAAACAAGAAAAGUGGGAUCACCUGAUUUGAAAGUGGGAUAGCUUCUUCAUCCUAACUCCUAUGAGAUUUAUUCAACUUCUUAGUGAUUCACCAUUACUUUAUGUAUCAAAAUCAAGCUUCUUACAUCACGAUUCAUCCUGGUUUGAUUAGAAUGACAAAGAAGCUGUCAUAUUCCCAAACAGGAAAACUGGGAUCAACUGAUUUGAAAGUGGGAUAGCUUCUUCAUCCUAACUCCUAUGAGAUUUCUUCAACUUCCUAGUGAUUCUCCAUUACUUUAUGUAUCAAAAUCAAGCUUCUUACAUCGCGAUUCAUCCUGGUUUGAAUAGAAUGACAAAGAAGCUGUCAUAUUCCCAAACAGGAAAAUUGGGAUCACCUGAUUUGAAAGUGGGACAGCUUCUUCAUCCUAACUCCUAUGAGAUUUAUUCAACUUCCUAGUGAUUCUCCAUUACUUUAUGUAUCAAAAUCAAGCUUCUUACAUCGCGAUUCAUCCUGGUUCUAUUAGAAUGACAAGGAAGCUGUUAUAUUCCCAAAUAGGAAAACUGGGAUCACCUGAUUUGAAAGUGGGAUAGCUUCUUCAUCCUAACUCCAAUGAGAUUUAUUCAACUUCCUAGUCAUUCUCCAUUACUUUAUGUAUCAAAAUCAAGCUUCUUACAUCGCGAUUCAUCCUGGUUCUAUUAGAAUGACAAGGAAGCUGUUAUAUUUCCAAAUAGGAAAAUUGGGAUCACCUGAUUUGAAACUGGGAUAGCUUCUUCAUCCUAACUCCUAUGAGAUUUAUUCAACUUCCUAGUGAUUCACCAUUACUUUAUGUAUUAAAAUCAAGCUUCUUACAUCAAGAUUCAUACUGGUUUGAUUAGAAUGACAAAGAAGCUAUCAUAUUCCCAAACAGGAAAACUGGGAUCACCUGAUUUGAAAGUGGGAUAGCUUCUUCAUCCUAACUCCUAUGAGAUUUCUUCAACUUCCUAGUGAUUCUCCAUUACUUUAUUUAUCAAAAUCAAGCUUCUUACAUCGCGAUUCAUUUUGGUUUGAUUAGAAUGACAAAGAAGCUGUCAUAUUCCCAAACAGGAAAAGUGGGAUCACCUGAUUUGAAAGUGGGAUAGGUUCUUCAUCCUAACUCCUAUGAGAUUUAUUCAACUUCCUAGUAAUUCUCCAUUACUUUAUGUAUCAAAAUCAAGCUUCUUACAUCGCGAUUCAUCCUGGUUCUAUUAGAAUGACAAGGAAGCUGUUAUAUUCCCAAACAGGAAAACUGGGAUCACCUGAUUUGAUAGUGGGAUAGCUUCUUCAUCCUAACUCCUAUGAGAUUUCUUCAACUUCCUAGUGAUUCACCAUUACUUUAUGUAUCAAAAUCAAGCUUCUUACAUCACGAUUAUGUUGAGUUAGAAGAGACUUAUGGAUAAAGGAAUGAUGGAUAAGUGGAGAAGAAGCAAGGUAGAGGAAUCCGCACAAGAGAGGCCGUACAAGGCCGUACACUUGGUACGGAUGGAGCAACCACAAGGAGAAGUAUCUCGGCCAAGAAGUUACCAAAGUGAAAGUAACUUAGCCAAAGUUACCUUUACCUUUGGUUGUGGAUCAGCUUGAAUCAAAAGGAAGAAGAGCGCGGACUGACAGGCUGGAACAGCUGUAAAGGAAGAGCAUCUAGCUAGAUCCUUUUGGCAUCAAGCGUGUGAGCCAUCCUAGCCUAUCAUUCAAACUAGCCCGCUCCUCUCAUCUUUGACUCUACAUGCUUAGUCUCCCUUGUAUCCGUUAACCUAGACUUAGUCUCUCCUAUAUAUAUUGUAACCUUGCUGAUUAAUGAAGUUAACGAGAUUGAGAGACUCUUAUCUCUUGUGUUCAUCAUGAUUCUCACUCAUCCUUACUCUUAGUUCUUAUAAUCUCUCAUACACUCUCAAAUCUAUCUCGUUCUCUUCUUAAAUCACUCAAUACCUUUUGUAUUCUCUAAAAUCAUAUGGUAUCAGAGCCAGGUUGGCUUUGGUAUUGAGUUUCUGAAAAGUUCUUCAUCUUCUUUCAAAAAAAAUCUAGCGUGUUCUUCACUGGAGUAUACAAGACAAGAUGGAGGGACACUACAAGGUGAUUACGGUACCGGUGGGUCUAAAGGGUAGUGGAAACUACCUGCUGUGGUCAAGGCUGGUGAAGACAGCCAUUGGGAGGCUAGGGUUGUGGAGUCACAUCACGGAUGAGGCACCAAGACCAGUGGCCAAGGAAGGAGAAGGAGGUGGAGGUGAAGGAGAUCAAGUUGCGGCCGCCGAGAAGAAAUGGAUACAAGAAGACUUGAUGGUGCUUUCAGUGCUACAAGGCUCUCUUGAAGUCCAUCUCUUAGAUGCCUACAGCUACUGUGAGACUCCUAAGCACCUAUGGGAAACACUCCUGAAGACCUUUGGGAACACAACCAAUCUGAGCCGGGUGUUUGAGCUCAAGAGAGCCAUCAACAACCUUGCGCAAGAAGAGGAGGAGUUCUCUAAACACUUGGGAAAGUACAGAUCUCUCUGGUCUGAGCUGGAGACCUUGAGGCCAAGCACCAUUGAUCAAGAGACUCUCAUGGAGAGGAGGGAACAAGAUCAAGUGUUUGGUUUGAUGCUGACUUUGAAUCCGGCUUUUGGUGAUGUUAUUAAGCACAUUCUGAGGUCUCCAAACCUUCCAUCUAUGGAGGAGGUGUGUGCACAACUCCAGAAGGAAGAAGGGACUCUCAGCUUGUUUGGGGGAAGAGGAGAUGUGGCUCUAUCCAACAAGGCUGAGGCAAUCCAAGCAAACAAAGCUGCUUACCGUGGAGAUGAAAGGAAGUUUAGUGGGAACUGUGAUCAUUGCAAGAAGCCAGGGCACAAGAGGAGUCAGUGCUGGAUUCUACACCCCCACUUGAAGCCGGCCAAGUUCAACAAGGAGAGGGAGGGAAGAGCUCACCUUUCUGCAGAGACAAGUGAAGCCGGCGCAUCAGGAGCUGGUUCAUCUGGUCAUGCGGGUGAAAGUGAAGGAAGAGCUUUAGCCUCUCACCUCCAAGGAGCCGGGAAGAACAUGGAGCAUGAGGUGAUUAGGAAGUCUGACAUUGAUACCCUGAUCAAAGCCCUCAAAGAGUCUGGUAACCCCAUUGAACACACUCUUGGUUAUUCAUACUCUGCUCGUGUGUUAUCUAGAACUUGUGAUAGGCUGCUAGACAAUCUUGAUAGUAUGAACAUGGGAGAUGGAAAGCAUAGGACUUAUGCUGCUGAAAAAACACCUAGAACUAAUGAUAAGUUGCUAGAUGGUGCAGCCUGGGUAUGGCUUAAACUCUGGAUCACUUGAAGGUGGAUGGAUAGAGGAUGUUCUAAGAGGCUACUAGCUCUCCUUUGAACUGUGAACGUCUCCCUGAGCCUGUGGGUUGGCGCAAGGAUGGUUUGCUACUCAAAGACACAAGAUCACCUUGUAUUGUCUAAGAUGGGAUUCACAGGAAUUCCUUCCUUUAAGUGAGAUCAAUGUUCUAGAGCUGAACAGAGAAAGCUAGAGACAAGACAACAAAGUUGACUGAAUAAUUCUUAAGAAAACAAAGCUGCAUCCCCCAUGUUCUUAAAGGUAGAAAUCGAAAACCCUAAUAGUAAACCAAGGUGGUUUAAUUCUAAUUCUAAUCCUAAUUGUCUUUGGUUUAAAUUAAAUGAAAGCCCAAUAACCAAACCCUUACAAAGUAAUUAAAUUAAACCAACAAGCUGGUUUAUCUUGAUCUCCUUGCCUUGAACCAAGGCCCACGGUUUUGGCUAUCUCCUGGAGCCUCUCCUCUUGUGCUCUCAGUCUCGAUCUAGUAACUGGUCCACUCCACACACUGACUGGCUCACAUGGUAUCUCACUCUGGUUCUCUUCAGUAUCCUCAGCUUCACA